rnacentral:lncRNA from 1 species
UCUGUCUGAACAAAGGCUGAUCUAGUCCAUAGCAACCAUACUACUCACUAAACUGGGAGAAUGGAACCAGUGAGGAAGGCUGCGUGGAGGAAGUUCCAUUUCUGAGGGCAGUGGGAGGUUUCCUAGGUAAAGGACUUGGGGCCUUCGGCUGGAGGUGAGGUGAGGCUGGGCUCAUUUGGAAGGGAAGAAAUAGAGAGCGGCUUGAAUUCCAAGGUGGGUUUCUUGUGUGGGGUUAUGGAGGCACCCAAACUUACACUUGGUUCAUGAGAGGUAUAGAAAGCAGGGCUGAAUAUGUGGGGGAGGGGGCAUG